ACAGAGGGUUUAAAUGCAAUAUACGCAGGAAUACUUCACAAGCUAGGAACGAAAAAACAGAAAAACACAGAAAAUGUAAACACACACGGAAUCACAACAAACACGGAUAAUACACAUACACACAACAUAAUCGAAACACCACUCACACAAGAUUGAAAAUGUCAAUAUCAGUCUCGAAACCGUAGAGUGCAGGUGCAAGAAAAAAGCGUAGGCAGAAAGAAAUCACAGAAGCGAUAAAAAAGAAGCUUUGUGCGAUUAAGCUGCUAUAAAGUUGCGAAACACAGUGUCGGGCGUAAAAAUCGACACACAUGCAGCACCAAAGACGCCAUUACAAACCAUCUACAGACACAAUACAGACAACCAAAUGUAGGCCACUACACAUGUUUACAAAAAUACAAACUCCUGUAAGUAGGGGAAAAUGGGGCACAUUGAGGGAAAGAAUCGGAAAUCAAUGUAUAUUCAAACACCAAAUUUUUAGAUCCCCUGAAGAAGGUUCAAUAAAGAACCGAAACGUCGGACGUAGGAGCAAAAACUGUGUUUGCUAACCACUCAGACUGCUAUUGCCGAAAAA